rnacentral:miRNA from 1 species
CUGCUGUUGUGUAAUGGGUUGC